AUCUUUCUUUUCUCGUCAUUACUGCUGUAUGUUCAGAUCGUUUCUGGCUUUCGUAUCGGUUUGUCUAUUGUAGAACCUUUAAUAACGGUUAUUUCCUGGUAGUGAAUGUGUGACUUGGUCUAGCGGGACCUGUUUGUAGCAUAGUUUUCUAUAAUUACCCAAAAUUUACACUGCAAUUCCAGGCCUAUUAUAUGGGACAUAGUAUGUAAUUACAGGCAUAACAUAUUAGGUCCUAAUAACAGCAAAUAUAUCAUUACACAAAUCAUUCAUGUAACUGUGCUGAUAUUUUUAUAUGGAGUAAGUGAAUACAAUUACUAAUAAUUGCCAUACACAUCUUACAGCUGCAGCGUAACUGGUGCCACUACAACAGAGAGCAGGGCAGCAGCUGGGAAACUCCCAGGGAAAUGCCUGUGAAACAUUGCAUCUGAAAGCCAAGGUGGAUUUGGGUGCAUAUGUGUGUAUAUGCAGUUAAUAUGACAAUUUGGGAGGGAUCCACGUUGUCUUGCUAGAUUAUGUGUGUCCUAGUUAUGUGUGUAAGAUUGUUCUCCAUACCCAUAGAGGUUAUGGAGAUCCUCCAGGAGGUAUAGAUGGUCCUCCAGGCUGUAGACAGAGGGAGUGAAUCCUACAAAAGCAGCAGCAAGCAAAGUUGGGCCAUCAGGUCACCAAAGGGAGGUGAGGGUGUUAGGUUGGACAUUAGAAAAAAUUACUUCUAAGGAAGAGUGGUGAUGCAUUGGAACAGGUUGCCCUGGGAGGUGGUGGAGUCACUGUCUCUGGAGGUGUUCAAGAAAAGGGUGGAUGUAGCACUGAGGGCCAUGGGUUACUGGGUACGGUGGGGAUGGAUUGGGGCUGGACUAGAUGAUCUUAAUGGUCUUUCCCAACCUUGAGGAUUCUGUGAUUCUUUGAGGAAGUCAUGCAUCCCACCUUCCACUUUCAAAGAGCUAGUCUUGGCCCACUGUGUGUAACAGAAGUACUUUGAGCCUGUAGGGAGACUGUUAGUGCUGGCAUCUGUCAGGCAGCACCCGUGUGCUGUCAGUUAAUGACAGAGAUGUUUGAUGUGGCUAAUGGUAACGCUUUAUGGGAGAACUGGGCUGAUGCACACAAGUUAGGAAAUUGAUUUAGGCACGGCCAUCCUGACACCCCAAUUUCAACCCUUGGCAAGGAGGGCAGCUUGGUGGAGGAUAGAUGCAAUGGGGACUUUGUUUCUUCAUGCCAGUAUUUCAACAAGCUCAAGUGAUGACUUCUGUUUUAACAGCCACCUAUUCAUAUCCACUGAACGGUUUAGACUGAAAUCUUUUUUCUUCACUGACGGGUUAACUUCCUUUCUGGCUCUGUCUGCAACAGGCCAUCAGCUCCUUUGAUGACACUAACCUGGAUCUGCAACGCUGAACCCCCUUUUUGCACACUAUCCAAGUCAGUGGGAAUUUUGUUCACUGCUCCAGAUUAUCUCAGAGGAAUGAAAGGUUCCGUAGGCUGAAGUCUGCCCUAAGGCAUGUUAUCAGCAGGAUCUGGCUUGCAUUUCAUCAGCUUGGCUUGGGCAGAGCUCUCCAUGUCACCUUCCUGCCAUCCUAUUUCAGCAUGGAAAUACCCCAAUAUGAGCAGGGACAAUGAACUGGAGAUGUGGGGGCCAGCUCCAGCCUACCAAAGCAAUUUUACCUGAUCAUGGAAGCACCUACAAGUCAACCUGGUCAUGUAUAGCUGAGCAGGUGCCCAGGUGAGUCCAGUGGGCUCUUGCUGAGUCUGGUGAGGUGUGAUGCGGUUGUGUUGUUGAUGUUCCUGCACACUUGGUUGUGUUCCCACACACCUGGGAUUACACUGAUGAUGCCAGUGUUGAUGCCAGCAUUGUGAACAAAGAACUAUUAAAAGCUGUGUUAAAGA
ensembl:lncRNA